GCCACCGUGGCUCAGGGGUAGAGCAGCUCACUCGUAAUGAGCAGGUCGUGAGUUCGAAUCUCACCGGUGGCU
rnacentral:tRNA from 1 species